rnacentral:tRNA from 1 species
GGAGGGUGGAUCGAAGAGAUCGCGCGGACUCUAAAUUCGUGUAGCCGGGUGCGACUCCCGGACUCUCCGCCA